GACGAACGCUGGCGGCGUGCUUAACACAUGCAAGUCGAACGGAAAGGCCCUGCUUUUGUGGGGUGCUCGAGUGGCGAACGGGUGAGUAACAUGUGAGUAACCUGCCCUUGACUUUGGGAUAACUUCAGGAAACUGGGGCUAAUACCGGAUAGGAGCUACUGCUGCAUGGUGGGGGUUGGAAAGUUUCGGCGGUUGGGGAUGGACUCGCGGCUUAUCGGCUUGUUGGUGGGGUAGUGGCUUACCAAGGCUUUGACGGGUAGCCGGCCUGAGAGGGUGACCGGCCACAUUGGGACUGAGAUACGGCCCAGACUCCUACGGGAGGCAGCAGUGGGGAAUAUGGCACAAUGGGCGGAAGCCUGAUGCAGCAACGCCGCGUGCGGGAUGACGUCCUUCGGGUUGUAAACCGCUUUCGCCUGUGACGAAGCGUGAGUGACGGUAAUGGGUAAAGAAGCACCGGCUAACUACGUG
rnacentral:rRNA from 1 species